CGUAGGGAGUGGAGGGAAAAUCUGAAACAACAAGGGAGGACAAAUUUAUCAUCGCUAUAUGUGGAGCUGUAUUAUUACUUCUUCAUACUUUUAUAGAAACGGAAAUAAAACAGAUCUUGCUAGGAAGAAAGUAAGUAAGGAGGUCGGACAAUCUGGUAAGUUGUAAAAAAUGCUCUUUACUCAAUUUGAGCUAUAUAUACAUAUUGAGUUGAUGUGUUUAUUCAGAGGAAGUGUGCAGAGAGAAGGGGAUAUGGAGAGGGGGAUGAGGAGAACCAGGCCGCAGGGUACGAGCACCCCGAGGACCAGGGCGAGACAGAAGCAGCAGCAGCACUCAGAGACAGGAGAGCCGACUGGUUCAACAUCCUUCAACAUCUGCUGCUGACCCACGGCACCAUCAAGAAGAAGAGCUCAGAGAAGGCGUAGGGAGCAGCCAUCGGAGGUAAAGCGUCAGCUCCAAGAAGCUCUCUGGACCCGUCCUGUAUCUCCACCACCGUCUCCAGAGGAUGAGCUCCUCAUCUUGAGUCUGGUCCCUUCCCUGUCAUUGAAAGAAAUACCAUUCAUUCGUUGUGUAGCAAUGAGGAUAAAUUGACAAUUAAAGAAUUAAGACAACCAAGACUAAUUUUAAACAUCAAACUAGUAUCUACAAAGGGCUCAAAGUCAUAUAAAUGAGGAUUUUCGAGGACAUGGUAUGAGCAGAGAAAAAGGCUAGCAGGCUGUGAAGUAGCUGACAUUUUAUU